rnacentral:rRNA from 1 species
GAUGAACGCUGGCGGCGUGCCUAAUACAUGCAAGUCGAGCGAACGGACGAGAAGCUUGCUUCUCUGAUGUUAGCGGCGGACGGGUGAGUAACACGUGGAUAGCCUACCUAUAAGACUGGGAUAACUUCGGGAAACCGGAGCUAAUACCGGAUAAUAUUUUGAACCGCAUGAUUCAAAAGUGAAAGACGGUCUUGCUGUCACUUAUAGAUGGAUCCGCGCUGCAUUAGCUAGUUGGUAAGGUAACGGCUUACCAAGGCAACGAUGCAUAGCCGACCUGAGAGGGUGAUCGGCCACACUGGAACUGAGACACGGUCCAGACUCCUACGGGAGGCAGCAGUAGGGAAUCUUCCGCAAUGGGCGAAAGCCUGACGGAGCAACGCCGCGUGAGUGAUGAAGGUCUUCGGAUCGUAAAACUCUGUUAUUAGGGAAGAACAUAUGUGUAAGUAACUGUGCACAUCUUGACGGUACCUAAUCAGAAAGCCACGGCUAACUACGUG